rnacentral:sRNA from 1 species
CCUGCGCCCCGACUUGAACGGAGCUCUUUUUCUUUUUUCAGAAAAGAAAAAAGCGGGAGUGGAAGGCGGAAAACGGC